rnacentral:misc_RNA from 1 species
UUUCCGUAUGUGAACCUGCGGAAGGAUCAUUAACACGUUCCAAAACCUAAUCAACCAACCUGCGAACUAGUAAAGCCUCUCUGCUUAGCUGUAGUUUAUUCUACGCUUGGCAUUGAAGCUGAUCUUCAGUACUAUGGCAUUGUUUGUACUCAGUGCGUUCAAUGCUUAGUAUUGUUGAUCAAACCCUUUUAAACGCCCUUCAUCAGCUGCUGCUUGUCAGUGGUCUGACGAAUCAUAUCAACUCAACUUCUACCUACGCAGGCUGUGUCGAUCAGCUAGCAAUAGCCCGACUACUGCAGGUUGUAUAUAUCUAUAUAAAUAAGAACAACUCUUAGCAAUGGAUAUCUUGGUUCUC